rnacentral:rRNA from 1 species
GCGUAAAGGGCUCGCAGGCGGUUUUUUAAGUCUGAUGUGAAAGCCCCCCGGCUCAACCGGGGAGGGUCAUUGGAAACUGGGGAACUUGAGUGCAGAAGAGGAGAGUGGAAUUCCACGUGUAGCGGUGAAAUGCGUAGAGAUGUGGAGGAACACCAGUGGCGAAGGCGACUCUCUGGUCUGUAACUGACGCUGAGGAGCGAAAGCGUGGGGAGCGAACAGGAUUAGAUACCCUGGUAGUCCACGCCGUAAACGAUGAGUGCUAAGUGUUAGGGGGUUUCCGCCCCUUAGUGCUGCAGCUAACGCAUUAAGCACUCCGCCUGGGGAGUACGGUCGCAAGACUGAAACUCAAAGGAAUUGACGGGGGCCCGCACAAGCGGUGGAGCAUGUGGUUUAAUUCGAAGCAACGCGAAGAACCUUACCAGGUCUUGACAUCCUCUGACAAUCCUAGAGAUAGGACGUCCCCUUCGGGGGCAGAGUGACAGGUGGUGCAUGGUUGUCGUCAGCUCGUGUCGUGAGAUGUUGGGUUAAGUCCCGCAACGAGCGCAACCCUUGAUCUUAGUUGCCAGCAUUCAGUUGGGCACUCUAAGGUGACUGCCGGUGACAAACCGGAGGAAGGUGGGGAUGACGUCAAAUCAUCAUGCCCCUUAUGACCUGGGCUACACACGUGCUACAAUGGACAGAACAAAGGGCAGCGAAACCGCGAGGUUAAGCCAAUCCCACAAAUCUGUUCUCAGUUCGGAUCGCAGUCUGCAACUCGACUGCGUGAAGCUGGAAUCGCUAGUAAUCGCGGAU